GUAAGCGCGUUCGAAAGAACUGCAAUUUUAUGCGUAAGGCAAGAUUUUCCUUAAACUUCCUAAUGUUUUUUUUCUCUCAUGAACAAUGUGAGUAAUCAUGUUGUGAUUAAAAAGGCCAUGCCUUCAUCAUGCCGAGCAGUAUAAAACCCGAAGAAUUGGAACGGUUAAAUCAGUUCAUUCCGGAAGCUCUUGAGCAACAGAUCCACAAGUUUAAGCAUAUAUCGCAAAAAUGAAGCUCCUUAUCGUAGGUCUUCUGGUUCUUCUUUCUAUUGUGGCAUUUGCCAACGCUAGUUUUAGCGAGAAUGACGACUUGUCGGCAGCAGAUCAAAUAAGGGAAUUUAACGAUUCUGAUGGAUCGUCCGACCGUUAUAAGCGUUCACCAAACCCAGGAAAAAAUAAGGGUGGAAAGGGAGGUAAGGGAGACAGGUGGCGACCAUUCCCGAUUCCAUUCCCAUUCCCCGCACCAGCACCAGCACCAGGACCGUACCCGUACCCGCAACAUCCACAGUCUCAAUACUAUGGAAAUUAAUAAUAAUUGGUUAUUGAUUUGGUGUUUCUGGCAAAAGUGUGUGUUUUGAUAAGAGGAAUUCAGAAUAAAAAGCUAAUCUAUAGCAAAAUGUUUUAUUUUCGUUGAUGGGUUGAUACAAGUGCUCUAAUACCU